rnacentral:rRNA from 1 species
UACGGAGGAUGCGAGCGUUAUCCGGAUUUAUUGGGUUUAAAGGGUGCGUAGGCGGGAUGCCAAGUCAGCGGUAAAAAUGCGGUGCUCAACGCCGUCGAGCCGUUGAAACUGGCGUCCUUGAGUGGGCGAGAAGUAUGCGGAAUGCGUGGUGUAGCGGUGAAAUGCAUAGAUAUUACGCAGAACUCCGAUUGCGAAGGCAGCAUACCGGCGCCCUACUGACGCUGAGGCACGAAAGCUGGGGGAGCGAACAGG